rnacentral:tRNA from 1 species
ACCUGGCUGGCUCAAUCGGUAGAGCAUGCAACUCCUGAUCUCAGGGCUGUGAGUUCAAGCCCCAUGGUGGGUG